rnacentral:rRNA from 1 species
UACGUAGGGGGCGAGCGUUGCUCGGAAUUACUGGGCGUAAAGGGAGUGCAGGCGGCCGGUUAAGUCGAAGAUGAAAUCCCGAGGCUCAACUUCGGAACGGUCUUCGAUACUGAUCGGCUUGAGGCUAGCUGAGGAGAGCGGAAUUCCCGGUGGAGCGGUGAAAUGCGUAGAUAUCGGGAGGAACACCAGAGGCGAAGGCGGCUCUCUAAACUAGUCCUGACGCUGAGACUCGAAAGCUAGGGGAGCAAACGGG